CUCAGUUUUUUAUAACUUAAUCUAAUAAUUGUUAGGUAAGGUUUACAUACAACAUUAAGCAUAUUAAAUAUGCAAAACGGUUUUUAUGUAUUUUAUUGACAGAAUAACCCAAGUAUAUACCAUCCAAUUCCCCAAAUAACGCAGAAAAUACAGCAAAGAGAAUCAAGGCUAAAGCAGCCUAGCACGAUUGUGGUAGACUAUGCAGCAAUGCAAUUCUCUAGCUAGCAGAACUCUCAAAUAAUAUAUUUUGAGGAAACACAUUAAAUUAAUCGAUUAUUGUAUUGAAACUCGACAGAAUCUCACCGUCCAAAAUCUUGAUUCAGAAUCUUUUAACAUUAUUUGAAACUCAAAUAUUACUAAACAUUACAAUAUAAGAUAAUUAAAAGGUUAUAACGUUAAGAGAUAAUCAAAUCCUUCACAAAUAGAGAUAUGGAAUUGAUUUACACUUCUUACAGAUCGAUGAUUGUUAUCAAAAUAGAGUUAAGUAUGAAUAUUGUAAUUUAGCAAAUGCAGACCCUGCAGUUAGCUGAAGUCCAAAGCCUGAUUGUAAGGAUUAUAAAUGAACCGCGAUCCACUCCAUCGUGGUUUAGGAAGCUGAACGUGAGAAGCCUCUUCAUGAUUUAACUUUGAACCUAAACAGCAAGGCAGCACAAGUCAGGAUUAAACAUCAAACACACUAUCACUUUGAUGAUGUCCUGUUAACAUAUUACUGUGAUGAAGUAUUGUUAAACUAUUACUGUGAUGAAGUAGUGUUAAAAUAUUACUAUCACUAUUGCUGUGAUAAAUAAAUAUAACUGUAAAUAUAUUACAGAAUAAGUAUUGUAAAGUGAUGAAAUACUGACUGUGGACAGAGGUUGGUACUCAGGAGCCAGCUUCUGCCCCUCAGUGUUCUCAGAGCUGGUGUCAGAAUCUGGGAAGUAGCAGAAUGGGAGAAGGUGAAGUCAUGACUGAGCUAGAUGUACCUAGAUCUAUAGAGCUGUAUAGUCCAGUGAGCUAGAUUUAUCUAGAUCUAUAGAGCUGUAUAGUCCAGUGAGCUAGAUGUAUCUAGAUCUAUAGAGCGAUGUAGUCCAGUGAGCAAGAUGUAUCUAGAUCUACAGAGCUGUAUAGUCCAGUGAGCUAGAUGUAUCUAGAUCUAUAGAGCUGUAUAGUCCAGUGAGCAAGAUGUAUCUAGAUAAUAGAGCUGUAUAGUCCAGUGAGCUAGACAAGGCACUAAGGUCUCGGUGUUGGUAGUGGCGUUAAUCAUAAGAGCAGUAAAAACUAAUUAUACUCACCAUCUGGUUUGUGACGCUUUUUCGUAAUCUAAGGAUCAAGAGAAAUGAUUAGUGUUGUAACCGUGGUGAAUAUCCUCAUGUUAUUAGACUUUCAUAUUCUUAAUGCCACAACAUCUCUAUGGACACGGCAUUGGAGGAGGUUCAUCAUUCAGAGGUCGAGGUUUAACCAGACCACCAGUGUGUGAAGACAACCAAUCAGAGUCCAGGAAGGGGACAGGAAGUAGGAGCAGGUGGAGAUCAGGUGUCAGUCCUCCUGGAGAGUUUGAUUCACUCACCGUUCCUCUUCUGGUACAGAAAGACUCCAACAACAGCAGCAGCAACAACGGCAAGAACAGCAACUCCAGUGAGGAUGAAAGCAAGGAUGUGACUGCCCUCUGAAAGAAAAUCAAAUCAGGUGUGUAAUAAUAGAUGAUCCCUCCAUCAUUGAACUGCACAUGUCUAUGGUCACGUGAUGCUACAAUCAAAACUAACACUGCCUAGGUGUAACUAUUCCUCUAGAACCUGUUCUGGAGCUCAGGGCCACUCAGGGAAUAGUCUUGCAAAGCCAGACCAAACUACAGCAAGUAGAAUGGUCUGGAACCACGCUAUUUAGAGCCGUCUAUCCGGGGGGAAACUGUGUUUGCCUGUUUUUAUUUAUUUGAACCAAUCACAAUCGUCUAGGGCGGGGCUAACCCCGGGAAGCAGCAGCGGUGUCCAUCCGAAAUAGUUCAAGAACAUCUUUCUUCCUCAGCAAAUGCUGUAAGCAAAUCUUUUGAAGUUCUUUAAAAUUUUCGACAGAAAGAGCCAAACAUGCUAGCUUUACAGCGCCUUCAAAGUCCUCUUCAAAACCUUCCAUACUGCCUAGUUUCCGAGUUUGAUGGGGAGCACAAUACGGGAAAGCCAGCAACAGGAAGAGGAGGAGUAGGGGAAUCCGAUACGCUAGCGCGACGCUGUCCAUUUCCUCUUAGCCAGACUACU
ensembl:lncRNA